UACGGAGGGUGCGAGCGUUGUCCGGAAUCACUGGGCGUAAAGGGCUCGUAGGUGGCCAACUAAGUCAGACGUGAAAUCCCUCAGCUUAACUGAGGAACUGCGUCUGAUACUGGAUGGCUUGAGUUUGGGAGAGGGAUGCGGAAUUCCAGGUGUAGCGGUGAAAUGCGUAGAUAUCGAGAGGAACACCAGUGGCGAAGGCGAGUCCCUGGACAACUCCUGACGCUGAGGCACGAAAGCUAGGGGAGCAAACAGG
rnacentral:rRNA from 1 species